rnacentral:rRNA from 1 species
UGGGGAAUAUUGCACAAUGGGCGCAAGCCUGAUGCAGCCAUGCCGCGUGUGUGAAGAAGGCCUUCGGGUUGUAAAGCACUUUCAGCGGGGAGGAAGGCGUUAAGGUUAAUAACCUUGGCGAUUGACGUUACCCGCAGAAGAAGCACCGGCUAACUCCGUGCCAGCAGCCGCGGUAAUACGGAGGGUGCAAGCGUUAAUCGGAAUUACUGGGCGUAAAGCGCACGCAGGCGGUCUGUCAAGUCGGAUGUGAAAUCCCCGGGCUCAACCUGGGAACUGCAUUCGAAACUGGCAGGCUAGAGUCUUGUAGAGGGGGGUAGAAUUCCAGGUGUAGCGAUGAAAUGCGUAGAGAUGUGGAGGAAUACCGGUGGCGAAGGCGGCCCCCUGGACAAAGACUGACGCUCAGGUGCGAAAGCGUGGGGAGCAAACAGG